rnacentral:misc_RNA from 1 species
AAGUCGUAACAAGGUUUCCGUAGGUGAACCUGCGGAAGGAUCAUUAAAGAGAAAAGGGCUUCGGUCGACUCCAACCCUUUGUUUACCUUACCACUGUUUGCCUCGGGCGGGUCUCGACGCCCUUUACAGGGCGCGCCGUCGGCCUUCAAACGCUUUCGAGUGCCCGCCGCCAGGCCCAAUCUAAAAAUUCUUUGUAAACCCAGUCUUUCUGAGAGUAAUUUAAUCUUCAAAAC